GCCAAACAAACCCACUUUACGAGGGAGCGAUGCCUCCAGGUACUACCCUCGCAAGUAAGAAAAUCGAACGAAAAAAAGCCGACGAAAGAAGAUCAACGAAAAAAUCGCUUCCUCGUAACGUGCGAACGAGCGAAGCCUCCAGGGUGCCCUCGAGCGACGCCACACCAGAUCCCAUCGCCACCGCCCUCGCACUCGCAUCCCUUCGUCGCUGCCCUCGCACAUCAAGCCGCCGCUGAUCCCUGCGCUACGUCGAUGGGAGCCAUCGAUCGUCUUGCUACGAGGACGAUCCCGUUGAGGAGCCGCCGCCGAUCACGCCUAGGAUCCGAUGCCGAUCCCCUUCAGGAGCCGACGCCGAUCCCUUGAGCCAGCGUUGAUCCCCGUUGAGGAGCCGCCGACGAGAUCAUUGCGGAUAUAGAAAGGAGAUGGCCGAGGUAGCCGCAGAUGCGCAGACGCAGGUGGCCUCGGGGUAGCGGCGGCGCCUGCAAUGGGCGCCCUUUUCCAAGGGCCUGCUGCAGCUCCCUUCUUUCUGGAGUCACCCAAACAACCAACCAUCAUGCACCGUGCCCCGCGCUCCCGCCAUCGGAUUCCGUCCGCGUCUGCCACCAUGCGAUUGCCUUCCUCCCUCAGUGCCCUUAACUGAAGUUGGUUAUUCAUGCUGGCACGAAUUGGGCUGGCAAAAUGCUGACAGAGGAGCAGAAGACUAUGCAAGUAUGUAUGUGCCAAAAUUGACGGGCAAGUAAUGUUGACGGGUAAUUAACAAGGCGGCGGUGCUGCGCGAGGCGGUCAAGUUCGAGGUCGCGAGUUGCUGCGUCCACGGAUGUCCGUCGCUGCAUCUUCAUUCUCCUCACCUCCCCCGUCGACUGCAUCUUCAACCUCCAUCCGCCGCCGCCGUCCAUGGGAUGGUUAAUGGAAGGAGAAGCUUGUGGUGUGGCUCUGAAACUCCACCAUAUAACGUAGGAUGAUCCUGCCUCCUUGAUGGAGAAUAUUCUGGCUUAUGAAGUUUGUGUCUGACUCACCAUUAAAUUGUUCAGUGUGCUCGCUUGUGGUUUUGUUCUUGUUUUUCAUAAUGGACGUCCAUCCAAUCAGGAAUGUGAGUCAUGCUAUAGUUGGUAAAACAACAUGGGAGGAAGAUUAAUGUUGUUUAGGAUUUGACACAUCUUCUUUUCCGAAAGGAUUUUAAUGUGCUGCAUUGAUAUGCCUUUUCUAUUUGAUAAAUUGAUAUGCAAAAUGCCCUUUUGGAAAUUGUGGUUUUCUUCUGUAUUUUUGUCCUAAUAUAGAAUGUUCUAUUGCUGGAUUGAAUUACUCUCUCAGCAUUUUUUUUGACAUAUUAUAAUGCUCAGUUUGUUUACAGGAUGUUGAAUGUUGUCCAAGGAAGGAAUCAGUGCCGAGGUAAUCAACCUUCGAUCAAUCAGGCCACUGUAUAGAGCUGCCAUAAAAGCAUAUGUUAGGAAAACAAAUAGAUUGGUGGUUCUAGAAGAAGGCUCCCCCCAGCAUCGUGUUGGUGCUGAGAUAUGGCUCUCUCUCUCUCUCUCUCUCUCUCCACACACAUCAUGUUAGGUUUGAGCAGGCCAACCCUUCUCCAAUUAUUCAUUCGAAUAUACAGAUUCUCCAAUUAUAAGAAAGAAGAAUUUGAUAAAUUAGAGAGAGAUAUGCUUUCAUAAAUUGCUCAUCCCUGAAGGUUACAAAUUCAAGUGUUGGGUUUGAAGGAUGAAGCAAAUCCCAACUCCCAAGUAACAUGUUAAUAUAUGUUGAUGCACAUUUGUUUUUACUUUGCUUUAGGUUCGCAUGCGUUGACAGAGAUUUCAUCAACGUCGCCUCCAUUUUGUUGGUGAACCUACCUUUCCCUCUAAGCGACCUUGCAUAUGGUCAUUGGGUGCUGAUCGCCUCCAUGUCUUUGGUACAUUAUGAAGAAGAAGAUUGCUGGUCGAAAAGGCCAUUUAUUUUAUUGAAGAAAUUGGCAAGGAUGUAUUUUCAGUACAUUAGGAUUUUUGGUAGUCUCAUGGUUCUGCUAGGAAGAUACCGUCGCUACCAGGUCAACAAUCCCCCCUUCAAUAAUAUUUGAUUUAUAUUUUUUUAUGCCAUUCAUCGGAUCAAUGUGGCUUACAAUGACCGCUCGUAUGUUUUGAUUGUAGUAUUUCUCUAUGCUAUUUCACUAUUUUGGACUCAUGUUCUUUUCAUUGUGAUGUAAUAAGUGAAAUAAAUUGGGUCUAAUUCUUUGUGUAGACAUAGGUGUUUUAAAGAAAUAUAUGGCUUGUUUUAUUUUUGGCCC